rnacentral:rRNA from 1 species
CUGAGCGGCGGACGGGUGAGUAACGCGUGGGUAACCUGCCUCAUACAGGGGGAUAACAGUUGGAAACGGCUGCUAAUACCGCAUAAGCGCACAGUACCGCAUGGUACGGUUGUGAAAAACUCCGGUGGUAUGAGAUGGACCCGCGUCUGAUUAGGUAGUUGGUGGGUAACGGCCUACCAAGCCGACGAUCAGUAGCCGACCUGAGAGGGUGACCGGCCACAUUGGGACUGAGACACGGCCCAA